rnacentral:lncRNA from 10 species
GAUUGGGGUUAUGUCAAACAUGCCACCGAAGAUUCUUGCACACGUUAUGCUGGUGUACAUAUAUGGAAGUGUCUUAAAUUUUGCUGCUGCUGUCUCUUUGGAUUUGGGCCAUUUUUAAGAGGUGUAACACUCACUGUGAAGUUCUGUAGCUCCAUUCUUCAAGUUAGCGAGACCACGAACCUGCCGGAAGGAACCAACUCCGGACAUAGCAGAUCAAGAAGGCAGUCAGAAGUGGGUAAGGAC